GAUGAACGCUGGCGGCGUGCCUAAUACAUGCAAGUCGAGCGAACGGACGAGAAGCUUGCUUCUCUGAUGUUAGCGGCGGACGGGUGAGUAACACGUGGAUAACCUACCUAUAAGACUGGGAUAACUUCGGGAAACCGGAGCUAAUACCGGAUGAUAUUUUGAACCGCAUGGUUCAAAAGUGAAAGACGGUCUUGCUGUCACUUAUAGAUGGAUCCGCGCUGCAUUAGCUAGUUGGUAAGGUAACGGCUUACCAAGGCAACGAUGCAUAGCCGACCUGAGAGGGUGAUCGGCCACACUGGAACUGAGACACGGUCCAGACUCCUACGGGAGGCAGCAGUAGGGAAUCUUCCGCAAUGGGCGAAAGCCUGACGGAGCAACGCCGCGUGAGUGAUGAAGGUCUUCGGAUCGUAAAACUCUGUUAUUAGGGAAGAACAUAUGUGUAAGUAACUGUGCACAUCUUGACGGUACCUAAGCAGAAAGCCACGGCUAACUACGUG
rnacentral:rRNA from 1 species